UGCUUAUAUAUGUUGGACUCAAAUCUAUGGCGGGUUCCAAAUCUAUGGAAGAUUCCUAAUCUAUGGUAAAUGUGACGUUACAAACGCCAAACAACUCAAAUCUAUGGCAGAUUUUUGUUUUCUCCAAAUCUAUGGCAGAUCUGGGGGAGAGAGUAACAUAUAACGUCAAAAUUGAAUAACGCCAUAUUACAUCUUCGCCGCCGCUAACGAUGGCGGAACCCAUAGAUUUGAACACCAUUCAAGAUGAAAUUAUUUUCCUGACAAAAAUUUGUCGGUGAUUUAAAGGAA
rnacentral:lncRNA from 1 species